rnacentral:rRNA from 1 species
GAUCAUGGCUCAGGAUGAACGCUGGCGGCGUGCCUAAUACAUGCAAGUAGAACGCUGAAGCUUGGUGCUUGCACCGAGCGGAGGAGUUGCGAACGGGUGAGUAACGCGUAGGUAACCUACCUCUUAGCGGGGGAUAACUAUUGGAAACGAUAGCUAAUACCGCAUAAAAGUCGGCAUUGCAUGAUGUUGAUUUGAAAGGUGCAAAUGCAUCACUAAGAGGGGGACCUUCGGGCCGU